rnacentral:tRNA from 1 species
GCGCCCGUAGCUCAGAUGGAUAGAGUGACGGACUCCGGAUCCGUAGGUCGAAGGUUCGAAUCCUUUCGGGCGCGCCA